rnacentral:rRNA from 1 species
GUUGUAUAGUCAAGUAAUUAAGUGCAUGUGGUGGAUGCCUUGGCAGUCAGAGGCGAUGAAAGACGUGAUAGCCUGCGAAAAGCUCCGGGGAGGCGGCAAAUAUCCUUUGAUCCGGAGAUGUCUGAAUGGGGGAACCCACCUACUUUAAGGUAGGUAUUGCAACAUGAAUACAUAGUGUUGCAAGGCGAACGAGGGGAAGUGAAACAUCUCAGUACCCUUAGGAAAAGAAAUCAAUUGAGAUUCCCUCAGUAGCGGCGAGCGAACGGGGAUCAGCCCAUUAAGUUAUGUGUGUUUUAGUGGAACGCUCUGGGAAGUGCGAACGUAGAGGGUGAUAUUCCCGUACACGAAAGGGCACACAUAAUGAUGACGAGUAGGGCGAGGCACGUGAAACCUUGUCUGAAUAUGGGGGGACCAUCCUCCAAGGCUAAAUACUCCUGACUGACCGAUAGUGAACCAGUACCGUGAGGGAAAGGCGAAAAGAACCCCUGUGAGGGGAGUGAAAUAGAUCCUGAAACCGCAUGCAUACAAGCAGUGGGAGCACCUUCGUGGUGUGACUGCGUACCUUUUGUAUAAUGGGUCAGCGACUUAUAUUCAGUAGCGAGGUUAACCGUAUAGGGGAGCCGUAGAGAAAUCGAGUCUUAAUAGGGCGUUUAGUUGCUGGGUAUAGACCCGAAACCAGGCGAUCUAUCCAUGAGCAGGUUGAAGGUUGGGUAACACUAACUGGAGGACCGAACCCACUGUCGUUGAAAAGCCAGGGGAUGACUUGUGGAUAGGGGUGAAAGGCUAAUCAAGCCUGGUGAUAGCUGGUUCUCCCCGAAAGCUAUUUAGGUAGCGCCUCGGACGAAUACCAUAGGGGGUAGAGCACUGUUUCGGCUAGGGGGUCAUCCCGACUUACCAAACCGAUGCAAACUCCGAAUACCUAUGAGUACUAUCCGGGAGACAGACUGCGGGUGCUAACGUCCGUAGUCAAGAGGAAAACAAUCCAGACCGCCAGCUAAGGCCCCAAAAUCAUAGUUAAGUGGGAAACGAUGUGGGAAGGCAUAGACAGCUAGGAGGUUGGCUUAGAAGCAGCCACCCUUUAAAGAAAGCGUAAUAGCUCACUAGUCGAGUCGGCCUGCGCGGAAGAUGUAACGGGGCUAAAACUAUGUGCCGAAGCUGCGGAUNNNNNNNNNNNNNNNNNNNNNNNNNNNNNNNNNNNNUUGACAUUAGUCAAGUGGUAGGGGAGCGUUCUGUAAGCCGAUGAAGGUGUAUUGAGAAGUAUGCUGGAGGUAUCAGAAGUGCGAAUGCUGACGUGAGUAACGACAAAACGGGUGAAAAACCCGUUCGCCGAAAGACCAAGGGUUCCAGUCCAACGUUAA